GCAGCUAUAAAAGCAUUCAACAAGAUGGGAGUAAAGGGCAACGGUAUUCUCCACCUCUGGCAGCUCAAGAUCAUGGAGCGAGGAUUGUCCGCGCCGGAAGCGAGAUGCUGCAACCCUUUGCCCUUCUUAUCAGCGCCGGAGAGCCAAUUCAGCUAGCCUCCUUCGGCGAGGAAACAAGCCCGGCGGUUUCAGGUUCUGAAACGGCGCUGUUCUGCUACUGGAUAAAGCUAGGAGAGCAAAAACAGAGUAAGAAGACAGCUCCAGUCGCCGUCAAUGCCACCCCCAAUAUAUAUCGUCAGCUUUGCUUAGUGUAUUCAUAUGCUGGCAUUUUUCAGUUUUGUCUCAAUCUGGUAAGCGCGAUCAUGUUAACAUUUAUGCACCACAUUAUUACAUAAGCGUUCUUAUAAUCAUGAAUGGUAUGCCCUCCAUCAGUGUUCUUAUAGUCAACAGAAACCUAGGUGAUCCUUUGGUGUUGGUAACUAGAUACGACGAAGAAGAAGACAGAGGAUGAAAUUCAUAGGGGUGUAUGUAUGCAGAUCAAAUGAUGGUUCUGAAACUGCAGGCUCUCUUGCUCUUCACAUCAGUGGCAAAUCAAGGUGCAAGUCAGAGGAAGAAGCAAUUUUCAUGCCCAGCCCACUUUGUUCCAGAUUACAGAGGCAGGAAGUAAGGAAGCAAUUUCUUUCUUGCCCUGCAGAAAAGGAAAAGUAGCCAUGGCCAUUCAAGAAAAGCAAGGUAUCAUCUUUUGUCCUCUUUAAGCCAACUAAGGAUUCACCUUGCUCCCGUGCAGAAGAGCAAGGGGUUGCAGCAUCCCACCUCCGGCGCGGACGAUCCCCGCUCCAUGAUCUUGAGCUGGCUGCGGUUGAGAAUAUCGUUGGCCUUUACUCCCAUCUUGUCGAUCUCCUCAGGGCCGGCCCAUAGGUCGGGGGAGAGAUGCGCUCGCCCUGGCCCCAAUGAGUUAGCGGCCUAGCACAAGAUUUGUUUGCGCAUUUGUAUUAAGUGUUUUUUUUUUGCAAAACAUCCGCCGAUUUAGUCAUAAUCUUCAGUGGUAAUACAAUAACUUCUUUGUUGCC